rnacentral:rRNA from 1 species
UGAUUCCUACGGGAGGCAGCAGUGGGGGAUAUUGCACAAUGGGGGAAACCCUGAUGCAGCGACGCCGCGUGAGUGAAGAAGUAUUUCGGUACGUAAAGCUCUAUCAGCAGGGAAGAAUAAUGACGGUACCUGACUAAGAAGCCCCGGCUAACUACGUGCCAGCAGCCGCGGUAAUACGUAGGGGGCAAGCGUUAUCCGGAUUUACUGGGUGUAAAGGGAGCGUAGACGGCAAUACAAGUCGGAAGUGAAAUACCCGGGCUCAACCUGGGAACUGCUUUGGAAACUGUAUGGCUGGAGUGCUGGCG